AACAGGAAAUCGCUUCAGCCCUUUUCCCUCGACUCACGCGACCUCUCCCAAAAUACCUGUCUCGUUGCCGCCGCCACCGCCUCGCCCCAUCGACCCAUUGUUUGCUUCGUCCUCCGGCGCCGGCCAAGCAGACUCCACAUCCAAUCACCCACGCCUCCUCUCGACCCAGGCACAUCGCCUCCUUCCCUCACCCCUGCCGCCUCUAUGCCACUCCUAACCCUUUCUCUUCUCAAUCCGGCUCCAUGGAGGUGGCCGGCAGGGAGGACGAGGAUGUGGAGGAGGGCGCUGCCAAUGGUGCCAGAAGCAGCUCGACAAGAACCACCGUCAUGCGGAGGCAAGUCGCCAUCGACACGGCCUCUUCGUCUGCGCCGUCAAGGGCCAACAGCUCCAGAUCCGGGAGCAUCUUCCCGGAGGCGGAGCCGGCGACUCCUGAUGCACCUGGUGAUGGCCGGGGUAGCGAUCCAGUCGACCUUCUUGAUGUUGGCUUCCCCACUAUGCUGCAACCUCCUCCUCCGCAGGUGGACGAGUGCUACGAGCCGGCAGUUCCUGAAAUUUUUCUUGCAACCGGUUGAGGUUUUUCUCUGACCAUUUCUCCGAGAUUCCAGUUUUUUACACUGUUCAUUUGUUUGUGAAAAGAGAGGUGGGAAAGGAAGUGCUGGACUAGCUGUUGCGAUGGGGAUUAAUUCAAAAGAUUAGAGGAGAUAAGUUAGCAAAGAUUUAGGUGAUGUUCCUGCUGCUAAUGUGUAUGCGGCUGAAAAGUCAAAAGGUAGAAGAGAAAAUUUUGCUGCUAAUGAAUAUACAAAGAGAGAGGGUUGAUGUUGCUAUUUUGUUCCCUAUUUAUAUUGGUCACUCUAUAGGAUUCUUAUCGCAUUUUCUUGAUCUGGGGGUGAUUUUGUGUCCUUUUAACUCAUGCAUAUCGUGUGUGGGUUCUGUGGGGAUUUCACCAUUAGCAGAAAGAUCAAGGCAAUGUGAUAACUUUUAUGAGGCCAUAUUUUGUGUCUAAAUCUGCAGAGUUAUAUGAUGUGUAAAUUGGCAGUGUUGCUGAAUGGAAGGAGGUAAUUUGCUUGCUCUUUCUAAAUUUGUUGGUUUCUUCAUGCUAUAUUGAUUAAUAUUGUAAUAUUUAAUAUUGUUUUGUCGGCUCCCUUGCUGUUGUGAUCUUCUUGUUGAAAAGGCAGUACGAACACUCGAUUAGAGGAUCCUGCUAGGCCUCUCUACCUCAUAGAAUUUGAUAUGGGUUGCCUUGUUCCUCUCAUUCUUAUUCUUCUCAGAAUUUAGGGUUGGGCGUUGAACAUACAUGCACAGGUUGGUUUCAGUUUUCUGUGUAAACUGAAAUAGGGGAUAAGUCAAUAUAUAUAUAUAUAUAUAUAUAUAUAUGUCGUGUUCCAGAUUAGAAAUUAAGAGAAGAGAGAGAAACGAUUGGUUAGUAAAAUAUGUAGCUGCAAGUUUACAUAGUGGAAUUGCUGACCAAAGUUUUUCUCCAAUGUACAUUUCGGAAAUUCCUAAUACUUAAAACUUGUUUUUCAGCCCGUUUUCUGUCAUUAGAAAAUACAAAUAGCAUUUUUUUCAAUCAGUUAACAGUAUGAACAGUCAGUUAACAAUACAAAUAUGGUAGCAUUUUUCAGCCUGUUACUUACUGAAUGCGAGUCAUUGGCAUUUUUCAGUCGGUUAACAAACAGUUUCUCAGUUAGUUAACAAAUAGCAACACUUCAGAAGCUUUUUUGAGAUAAGCUACAGAGAUAAGCAGCAGUUUUUCAAUCAGUUAACAAACAGCAGCACAACAGUUUUUCAGUCACCUGAUCGCUAUCCAAUUUUUCCUCGCUUGUUGCAGGUCACCAUUGUAUUCGACCUGGGAACCUACAUACAGAUUUUCAUCUAUGAUAUUUCAGCAUCUUCUAUGCUUCCAAUCUGUUAAUUUAAUUUUACUUAUAAACGGCACAACCUUCCCUUCUCCUUUUUCGUGUGUAGAAUGAUGAUUGAUGUAGUUUCACUGAAUCAAAAUACUGAUGCCUUUUCCCUUCUCCUUGACAGCUUUGCGAGAGCUAGGAAAGUAAUGGUGGACUCUCAUGAAGAACAGAGAUAGAUAAUGUUUGAGAGGUUCACCUGCCCUACGUCAGCGCUCAGAAGGCAUACAUUGAAGCCCUUGACGGCUGGUUGUCCAAGUUUAUCCUAACAGACACCAUUUUUUACUUCCGGGGGAUCUCCUUGAUUGCGCCCGACAGGGCCGGCACGCCGCCCCUGGUGGUGAUCACGAGUGGCACACCAUGCUGUCGACGACUGGAUCGAUCCUCCGCACUAGUGAGUCUGGCAUAGGACUUGGCGAUGGGGAGAGGUCGUUCAGCGCUACGGAGAGCUGGUGCCAAAAACUAACUGUUGAUGUGGAAUUAGAUUUAUUAAAUAAUUAUCAGUUUGACUUAUUCGCUUGUAUUCAAACUGUACUGCAUUUUUGUUUGAGUACUGUUUUUUCAUGUUCA